GACCUGAUAGCGAAAUUGGCAUCGCAUCCACUGCACCUCGACUUUGCAUGGUUUACGUGGAAGUCCCUCGUUCGAACCGAGGUUAGGUCC